GAUAAAAUUUUUAUGUUUUUCAUAAUUUAUUAAAAAUUUAUUUUACAUAUAAAUUUUAGUGUUAAAUUUUAUUUAUUUUAAUAAUAAUUAAUAAAAAUUUUAUAGUGAUUAAAAUUAAAAAUUUAAGAAAUUAAGAUU
rnacentral:rRNA from 1 species